rnacentral:rRNA from 1 species
UACGAGGGGGGCAAGCGUUGUUCGGAAUUAUUGGGCGUAAAGGGUGCGUAGGCGGUUUUGUAAGUCUUGUGUGAAAUCUUCAGGCUCAACUUGAAGACUGCACGAGAAACUGCAGGGCUUGAGUGUGGGAGAGGUGAGUGGAUUUCCUGGUGUAGCGGUGAAAUGCGUAGAUAUCAGGAGGAACACCUGUGGCGAAAGCGGCUCACUGGACCACAACUGACGCUGAUGCACGAAAGCUAGGGGAGCAAACAGG